GCGCCCUUAGCUCAGUUGGUAGAGCGAUGGAACGGUGAUCCACAGUCCCGGGUUCAAGUCCCGGCGGUCGCU